rnacentral:rRNA from 1 species
UCAAGCAAAGCCCAAAAACAAACGACCUCCAGUUCGGAUUGCAGCCUGCAACUCGGCUGCAUGAAGCCGGAAUCGCUAGUAAUCGCGGAUCAGAAUGCCGCGGUGAAUACGUUCCCGGGUCUUGUGCACACCGCCCGUCACACCAUGGGAGUCGGAAAUGCCCGAAGUCGGUGACCUAACGAAAGAAGGAGCCGCCGAAGGCAGGUCCGGUAACUGGGGUGAAGUCGUAACAAGGUACC